rnacentral:rRNA from 1 species
GAUGAACGCUGGCGGCGUGCCUAAUACAUGCAAGUCGAGCGAACAGAUGAGGAGCUUGCUCCUCUGACGUUAGCGGCGGACGGGUGAGUAACACGUGGAUAACCUACCUAUAAGACUGGGAUAACUUCGGGAAACCGGAGCUAAUACCGGAUAAUAUAUUGAACCGCAUGGUUCAAUAGUGAAAGACGGUUUUGCUGUCACUUAUAGAUGGAUCCGCGCCGCAUUAGCUAGUUGGUAAGGUAACGGCUUACCAAGGCAACGAUGCGUAGCCGACCUGAGAGGGUGAUCGGCCACACUGGAACUGGGACACGGUCCAGACUCCUACGGGAGGCAGCAGUAGGGAAUCUUCCGCAACGGGCGAAAGCCUGACGGAGCAACGCCGCGUGAGUGAUGAAGGUCUUCGGAUCGUAAAACUCUGUUAUUAGGGAAGAACAAAUGUGUAAGUAACUAUGCACGUCUUGACGGUACCUAAUCAGAAAGCCACGGCUAACUACGUG